rnacentral:rRNA from 1 species
UACGGAGGGAGCUAGCGUUGUUCGGAUAUACUGGGCGUAAAGCGCACGUAGGCGGCGCAGCAAGUCAGGGGUGAAAUCCCGGAGCUCAACUCCGGAACUGCCUUUGAAACUGCAGUGCUAGAAUCCUGGAGAGGCGAGUGGAAUUCCGAGUGUAGAGGUGAAAUUCGUAGAUAUUCGGAAGAACACCAGUGGCGAAGGCGACUCGCUGGACAGGUAUUGACGCUGAGGUGCGAAAGCGUGGGGAGCAAAGCAGG